GCAUGUGUGGCGGAAUGGUAGACGCAGAGGACUCAAAAUCCUCCGUUAGUGAUAAUGUAUGGGUUCAAGUCCCUUCACAUGCACCA
rnacentral:tRNA from 1 species